GACGAACGCUGGCGGCGUGCUUAACACAUGCCAGUCGAACGGAAAGGCCUCUUUCGGGGGGUUCUCGAGUGGCGAACGGGUGAGUAACACGUGAGUAACCUGCCCUUGACUUUGGGAUAACUUCAGGAAACUGGGGCUAAUACCGGAUAGGAGCUCCUGCUGCAUGGUGGGGGUUGGAAAGUUUCGGCGGUUGGGGAUGGACUCGCGGCUUAUCAGCUUGUUGGUGGGGUAGUGGCUUACCAAGGCUUUGACUGGUAGCCGGCCUGAGAGGGUGACCGGCCACAUUGGGACUGAGAGACGGCCCAGACUCCUACGGGAGGCAGCAGUGGGGAAGAUUGCACAAUGGGUGGAAGCCUGAUGCAGCAGCGCCGUGUGCGGGAUGACGGCCUUCGGGUUGUAAACCGCUUUCGCUCAUGACGAAGCUUUGUGUGACGGUAGUGGGUAAAGAAGCACCGGCUAACUACGUG
rnacentral:rRNA from 1 species